AUCUUGGUAGCUUAACUUAAAAGCGUCGGCCUUGUAAGCCGAAGACUGGAGGUUUAAACCCUCCCCAAAAUA